AUGCUAUCUGACGAAAACGAACAGCCAAAGGCCUUGCCAUUAUCACUUUUGGAAGACAUCACAGAUGGUUUCUCUGAGAACCGUCAAAUUGGCAGCGGUGGGUUUGCGGUAGUUUAUAAGGGAGUGCUUGAGAAUGGGACUGUUGCUGUGAAGAAGUUGCUUGAAAGUCUUGAUAUUCCUGAUAAUAAAUUCAAUGAAGAAAUUCGUUGUUUGAUGAGAGUAAAGCACAACAACAUAGUCCGGUUUUUGGGAUAUUGUGCUAACAUACAAGGCCAAAUGGAAAACUACAAUGGAGAUUUUGUCAUGGCAGAUAUACGUCAAAGGUUGCUUUGCUUUGAGUAUGUACCUAAAGGAAGUCUUCAUGAGUAUAUCAAAGAUACAUCUUCUAGACUUGACUGGAUAAAGAGUUAUCAGAUAAUAAAGGGUAUUUGUGAAGGUUUACAUUACCUUCACCAGAAUUGCAUUGUUCACUUAGAUCUCAAGCCAGCAAAUAUUCUGUUGGAUGACAAUAUGACACCAAAAAUUGUUGACUUUGGUCUGUCAAGGUGCUUCGAUGAAAAGCAAAGCCAAGCUAUUACCGAAAAUAUGGCUGGAACAUUGGGGUAUAUGGCACCAGAAUUUCAUAGAGGAGACAAAUGCAUGAUCACAUACAAAUCGGACAUAUAUAGUCUUGGUGUCAUAAUUAUAGAGAUGCUUACAGGAAAGAAGUGGUAUCCAGGAUAUCCUGAUGUUGAUAAUGUAAGAACAAUAUCGACUGUUUCAUGA
rnacentral:rRNA from 1 species